rnacentral:misc_RNA from 1 species
CUUCAACACUAACAGCUUUAGCUAAUGAAAAGACCCUUGAAACAAGUUUUAUUAGGGAUGAAGAAGAACGUCCAAAAGUUGCUUACAAUAAAUUUAGUGACGAAAUUCCAGUAAUAUCGUUGCAAGGUAUUGAUGAUGUUAAUGGAAGAAGAAGUGAAAUAUGUGAGAGAAUCGUAAAUGCUUGUGAAGAUUGGGGUGUUUUUCAGGUAAUUGAUCAUGGGGUUGAUGCUCAAUUAAUAUCACAAAUGACAAAAUUAGCGAAGGAAUUUUUCGAAUUGCCUCCUGAGGAAAAGCUUCGGUUUGACAUGUCUGGUGGCAAGAAAGGUGGCUUCAUUGUCUCAAGCCACUUACAGGGUGAAGUGGUUCAAGACUGGCGUGAAAUAGUGACUUACUUUUCAUACCCCAUUCGAGCUAGAGACUAUUCUAGAUGGCCAGACAAACCACAAGGCUGGAUAGGUGUAACUGAGCAAUACAGUGAAAAGUUGAUGGAUUUGGCUUGCAAAUUAUUAGAAGUACUAUCAGAGGCAAUGGGCUUAGAGAAAGAGGCUUUAACCAAGGCAUGUGUCGAUAUGGACCAA